rnacentral:lncRNA from 1 species
GUGGGAGAAGAGGCAGAGGACGAUGGUCGGAGGCUCGGAGCUCGGAGGCGGCGCGGCGCUGUUGCUGUGGGAGAAGAGGCAGAUCCAGAAAAGAACAUGCCGGAGGGGGCGGCGGCACGAAAAUCUCUCGACGGCGUCGCGGUGGAAGGGAGGGCAGCGACUCGAGACUGCUGCUGCUGCUGCUGCGCGGUGGUCAGGUGGCUUCUGCGCUGUCGGAGCUCGGAGCUUGGAGGCGCGCGGAGGGCGACAGUGGGCGGGCGAGGGGCGACGGCGCGCCUCUGGGUCGCUGGAAAACUCGUGCCGGAGGAGGGAGUGGGAUGGGAGUCAUGGGACUGUGGGGG